UUCAAGCUGAGUUGUGGGAUUUGUGUCAUCAUUAAUCUCCAGAGUUUGGAAGCCCCUCAGACUGUGUGCAGAGACCGUAGAAUGUCGUGAACUAGGUCUUGGAAGGAGAGCUUGUUAGGGUGCCUCCUCUGGCAAUGGAAACUGCAUAUCCACCCAUGACCAAAAAGCAAAUGAUAUAUUACUGUAAUACAGCCUGGCUCCAGUAUUCCCUAGAUCAGAAGAGAUGGUCUGAAUAUGGGUCACUUACUGCAACUCUCCAAUUGGACUUUUUUUGCAAGAAACAUGGUAAAUGGGAAGAAAUGCCCUAUAUGCAAUGUUUUAUGGCCCUCUAUCAAAACCCUGCCUUGCAGAUGAAAUGCAGAAUAUGUAAAUUGGCCAAAGGGAACUAUAUUGCCAAUUCUAGAAGCCUCUGGAGAGGAAGCAUCAGUCAUGUGGGGGCCUAUAGGGAAGGGAACAAGUAAGAAGAGUCCCUUUACUACCCCCUCCAAGAGAAGUGAGGCCCUCUAACUCUACUCGGGGACUGGAACCUUGGCCAAUACAGGGGCAUAGUCCACCUUCUUGGAAAUGGUACCCUCUGCACCUCCAGGGAAAAGCAAGGGCCCGUUCUGUAUUUGCCAGGCCCUCCAAACUCUGCAGAGCCAGCUGUGGCUCCUGCUAUGGCAAUAGCAGGCCCCUGUUGCACUCUUCUUUGCCAGGGAGCACCACUCAUAGUGGGAACGCAUAUAACCCUGGAGGGUGACUGUUGCCACUCAGAGCAUGCCUGUUGGAGAAAGAGGUUUUGCUCGGGUCUAUGUGUUUUUUAAAACUGUUGACUUGUAUAACUGGAAAUCCCAUAGUAAGGGCUUAUGGGUGAGCCCACGAGAGUUCGUAACUCUCAUAUGGAGAAUAUUCUCCACACAUAACCCUACCUGGCCAGGUGUGCAGACCGUAACAGCAACCCUGCUCACAGCAGAAGAUAAAUCUGCCACCAUGGCCAAAACUAAGGAGGAGGCAGACAAUAUGUGUGCUGAUAACCUGGUGACCUGGCCCGUUGAGGUGUCAGUCCCAAUAGCCAACCCAAACUGGGACCCCAGUGAUAACAAGAAUCAAGAGUGGCUUCAUCAUUAUAGGAAUAUGCUUCUCAGAGGUAUGAGGGAAGCAAGCCAGUCCCUGGUCAAUUGGGGAAAUCUCAGAGAAAUAGAACAAGGCCCUAAUGAAAAUCCAUCAGCAUUCCUAAAUUGAUAAUAAGAAUGCCUCCAGAAUUACACCCCUUGGGACCCAGAUGACCCAAAAGCUGAGUAGUACUUUAAUCUCACUUCAUCUCUCAGCCCCAGAUAUUCAGAGAAAACUCUAAAAAGUGGCAAUAAAUCCACAUACUCCCCCUUUCCAACUGGUAGACAUCUCCUUUAAGGUCUAUAGUAAAGAGAUGUGGCAUCUGAUGAAAAGGAAGACAAGAAGAUGCGGCAGCCCUACAGACUACUUCAGGAAGCCCAGGAAGAAGAUGGCAUGGGUGAGUGACCAGGGCCCCCACCAUGGAACUCAGGGCCUGCCUACACUGGGGCCCAAACAAUAUGCUUACUGGAAGCAGAAAGGAUGCUAGGAAAGGGAAUGUCCAAAUCAUCCCCAGAGAGGGAAGGAGGAGGACAAGCCCAAGGUACCUGUUCCCUGUAACUGGACAAGAAACUGAUGGAUGGGGACAUGGGGCUCCCUGCCUGGCUCCUCAAAACAAGAUCCACAUCUCCCCCAAGGAGCCCCAGGUUACACAGAAGAAGGGGGGCAACCAGUUGGAUUUUUUUUCGUUUGUUUGAGACAGGGUCUGUGUUACCCAGGCUGGAGUGCAGCACCGUGAUCAUGGCGCACUGCCGCCUCCAACUCCCAGGCUCAAGCAGUCCUCCCACCUUAGCCUCUCAAGUAGCUGGGACUAAGGCACACCUGGCUGAUUUUUUUGUUUGUUUGUGGAGACAAGGUCUCGUUAUGCUGUCAGGGCUGGUCUUGAACUCCUGGGCUCAAGUGAUCCUCCAGCCUUGGCCUCCCAAAGUGUUGGCAUUACAGGCAUGAGCCACUGCUCCCGGCCACCAGCUGAGUUUUUGAUCAACACUGUAGCCAUGUUUUCUGUGUUGAUCACUAAAAGUGGACCCUAUCCAGGAAGAAAUGUAUAUAAGGGGUGUGUCUCAUAAAGGAAAUAAAAGAUUCUUGGAGCCUCUGGUCCAUGAAAUAGUAUCUAAAACUUUCACUCAUUCUUUCUUCUGUUCCCCAAACAUCCCAUUCUCCUUUUGGGAAGGGACCUUCUGACUAAGUUUGGAGCCACAAUUUCUCUAAAUCAGGACAGAAUAGAGGUGUUCUGAGCCCAUGGCACUGCCAUGCUGGCCCUAGUUCCUGGGGAAGUUCCAGACUUGGGGCCUCAUAUGACUCCUUGGCUAAUGCGGUACUAGAUAAUUGUAUAGCAUUAGACUGCCUCUUAGCAGAACAGGGAGGAGGAGAGUGUGCAGUUAUUAAUUCCUCUUGCUGUACCUGAAUAAAUACCUCAGGGGAAAUAGGAAGUUAACAUUAGGAAGGUCCAUGCCCAAGCCUCUUGGUUCCACACUUUUAAUCAGCAGCCAUAUUUUUUUUUUUUUUUUUUUUUUGAGACAGUCUCGCUCUGUUGCCCAGGUUGGAAUGCAGUGGGGCACGAUCUGGGCUCACUGCAACCUCUACCUCCUGGGUUCUAGCGAUUUUUCUGCCUCACCUUCCUGAGUAGCUGGGACUACAGGUGCGCACCACCACACCUGCCUAAUUUUUGUAUUUUUAGUAGAGACGGGGUUUCACCAUGUUGCCCAGGCUGAUCUUGAAUUCAGGGUGAUCUGCGCGCCUUGGCCUCGCAAAGUGCUGGGAUUACAGGGGUGAGCCACCACAUCAGGCCUAAUAGCCAUACUUCUAAUUCUGUUUGAGAAGUUCUCAAAUUAGCAAUACCAAGUGUUACUUGGUUUCUUCCCCUAAUGAGGCCACUAAUUUUAUUGCUCUUACUACUGUUGUUUGGUCCCUGCAUCUUUAACCUCUUCGUAAAAUUUGUAUCUUCCAGAUUAGAAAAAUUUCAACUGUAGGUGCCUUUGCAACCUAUCCUGGGAGACCCUAAAACAUAUUUAGUUUUAGUGCCUAGAGAUUUUCACUCCUCUAACAUCUCUGGAUACAGUGUCCCUGGUCAACAUGAAGAAGUUACAGAAGAACGCUUUCUGAUCCUGGCCCCUAAAGAAUUUACUUGUGCUAAGUAAUAAAAUUCCUAUUGAUC
rnacentral:lncRNA from 1 species